rnacentral:rRNA from 1 species
CACUCCUGCGGGAGGCAGCAGUGGGGAAUUUUGGACAAUGGGCGAAAGCCUGAUCCAGCAAUGCCGCGUGAGUGAAGAAGGCCUUCGGGUUGUAAAGCUCUUUUGUCAGGGAAGAAACGGUGAAAGCUAAUAUCUUUUGCUAAUGACGGUACCUGAAGAAUAAGCACCGGCUAACUACGUGCCAGCAGCCGCGGUAAUACGUAGGGUGCAAGCGUUAAUCGGAAUUACUGGGCGUAAAGCGUGCGCAGGCGGUUUUGUAAGUCUGAUGUGAAAUCCCCGGGCUCAACCUGGGAAUUGCAUGGGAGACUGCAAGGCUAGAAUCUGGCAGAGGGGGGUAGAAUUCCACGUGUAGCAGUGAAAUGCGUAGAUAUGUGGAGGAACACCGAUGGCGAAGGCAGCCCCCUGGGUCAAGAUUGACGCUCAUGCACGAAAGCGUGGGGAGCAAACAGGAUUAGAUACCCCGGUAGUCCC